GUGGCACGGCUGAGGCGGGACCAACGCGUGGGACGCACGACUCAGGCGCGUGGCCCAGCCCGUGCGUGGGCCCGCUCACGGGUGCGGCCCAAGCCCAGGCGCCUUGCCUGGGACUGUACCCCGGUCCACCAUGGAUCGAGCGGUCCACAGCUGGGCUUGUGGACCGCAUGGAUGUUUUUCACGCAUUUCGUGCAGUCUACAGUACUAUUUCAUGGAUCGAAGAGUGAUCGGACGGCGUGGGUGACUCCCGAUCUUGAUCCAAUGGUCUGGGACUUGAUUUGGAUUGAUUAAGGAGUCCAAAACCUAAUCUAAGUCAUGUUUAAGCCUAUAAAAGACCAGGAACAGUGAAUUGUGUGUGUGGUCUUCUGGUUUUGCCGCAAACUGCCGUACGGAGCCGUACGGAACCCGAGAGAAGAGAGAG
rnacentral:lncRNA from 1 species